AACCGAGCACGAAUGUGGGCAACACUUCGCUUUCUCCGCCUAUUCUCGUCUGCAUCAUUCCUUCUCUAAGCACCUCCUCACUCGCUCUUCUCGCGUCGCUCUCCUUCGAUCUCGCUGGUCUCGCCAUCACCGAGACCGAGGAGCACCGCGUCCGCAGGCUCGUAGAGCGCCCCUGCGCCGCCCGUGCUCCCUCCUCUCCUUCCCUCGUGCCACCGCGCCCUCCACGCGCCCCUAUUGUCCUUGCGACCCAACUCCAUGCACACCACCGGAGAUGAGGAUGACGACGGCGGCUCCAACGAGGUAGGUUGUGAAGGGAUCUGGAUCUGAGGCCUCCUCUUCCUAGAUCUGAGCUCUCCCCCCUCGUUCUCCUCUAGAUCUGGCCUUUCUCCUUCUCUUACUCGUCCUCCUCCUCCUCUCCCCUCUGGAUCUGAGGGAUGUGGCGGUGGCUGGGGUUUCGGCGAGCUCUUGGGGUUUGGAUCUCGCUGUGUUGCAAUAGUUUUCUUUGGGUGUGUAGAAGGGUUUCAGUUGAUGUUGCAGUAGUACUGAUUUUCAAAUUACAACAUGUUUUCAGUUGAUUCAAUCUGCAUGUCUGCAGUAGUUGUUGCAUGUUGUUGCAGCAGUUGUUUGGUGUUUGUUGUACUAUUAUAUUCAUGGUGUUUCAACAUGAUGUUUCCACUAUUUUUUCUUUGUUGUUGUAAUAAUAUGUUCAAGAUGUUUCAAUGUCUUCAUCCCAAUGUCGCAACUAUUUAUCCCUUUAUUGUUUGUUGCAAUACACGUGUUCAUAGUGUUUCAACUGCUUCAACCUAUUGUUGCAGUAGUUUCUUCGGUGUUGUUGCAACAACAUGCUCAUGGUGUUUCAGUUGCUUCAUCCUACUGUUGCAGUGCAAAGGGGAGGGGUGAGCUGAGGGAUGGUUUGUGGGGGGUGAGCUGGCGCUGGGCGGAGGUGUUGGGGGCCAGUGAGGUUGGGGGUGGGCAGAUCCCGUACACGUGGGUGGCGGUGGGGGGAUUUCGUGCGCGAGAAACGGAGGAAGGGCCUCUCUACUUUUUUCUUCGUGUGGCUCUGUGCGGCGUGGGUGGGGUUGCGAUUCGAUGUGGGAAGGCAAGGGUGGUUUUCGAUCCGUACUUUUUGUUUUAUGCGGAAUAGGCAGAGAGAGCACGAUUCGGUGCUCGCUCAGCGUCCGGAUGCUAGCGCCUGGAUCGGACGUCCGAGCACUAGCAGUACCGAUUUAAAUAACAUGGUUGAUCGCAACACACUACUAAAGAACAAACUUUUGAUCCGCUCUAGAUUUUAGCUUUGAUCUCGACAAUCAUAGCGUCCAGGACGAAAUGUAUAAUUAUUUCCGAUUUGAGAAACCAACCACAACUAAAGGUACCUGGCCAACGGCUCUGAUAGCAGGCUUUUGCAGCAGGGCAUCUUUAGUCUCGGACGGUAUAACCAACCGGGACUAGAUGUCAUCAUUUAAUCCCGGUCUUGAUUGCUAUCCGGGACUAAAACUUUAGUCCCGGUUUGUAAUUCCAACCAGAACUAAAAAGCUACGUUUAGUCUAAGUUGGGAACCCAAAUCGAGACUAAAGGUCCCUUGUUAUAUAUCCUGGGUCUUCUUCUUCCUCCAGCCCAAGCCAUUCGAACUCAAAUUCUAGCUUGCUUCAUUUUUGGCCAUCACAAGACUACUCCCCCUUUAAUUCUUCAGUUGUAAAGUUACUAACUUCAUCCUCUCAUGAUUUAUUAGUAGCAUAUCUGAUUUCAUGGUCUAGAUAUAUGUAAAUUCUAUGGUGUUUUUUUAUUAUUUGUGCAACAUUUGAACUCAAAGUCACUUGAUGGUAAGCUUAAAUUAGUUCAUCAAAACUAGUAUACAUCUUUUUCUGCUAGUAUGCAUACCACAUUUCAUAGUUUAUGUAUGUUGAGAGCAAUAGAGGAUUUUAAGGGUUCUUUUAUAAUUUGAUUUGUACGUUUAGAAACUGAGAAAUCUAUAGAAGUUUACAAAUUAAAAAUGGAUGUAUAGAGAGUAGAUGGCAGCUGCUUUCGGUUCCUCGGCCUCUCAUCGGGUUCAAAAAUGAAUGAGGCCAGACCUUCCUCUUAUUGCGUGCGGUGAAUGUGAGCGGAAUAAUGUGAUGGAGUAUCGAGUGAAGAAGAAGUGUUCCAACAAAGGUCGUAUCUUCUACAAGUGUCCGGAUCGCAAUGUGAGUUAUUUUGUCACAUUCGAUGGUUAUGACUAAUUUAUACCUAUUUUGCGACAGGAACCAGGGAAUAAUUUAUGUGGAUACUAUUUUUGUGAGUUCAUCAUGGCAUUCUCAAAAAGAACUACUAAAGAGAUCCUCCAAGUAUGUCAAAUAUAUAUAUUCUCAUUCUUUUAUUAGUAUUGUUCAUAUAUAUAAUUAAUUAUUUAUAUAUUAAUACCGUUUUUCCUUUAUUUCAAACUGAAGACCAAAUGUUGAAGGAAAGGGUCAUGCGAAAAGAUAAGAUCAAAGCAAUUCAAGAGAUAAUAGCUGGAUUUCUUAAUGACCAAGUCAUAGAUCCCAAGGGCGAGCACUACUACAUCCACAAAGUACAAUUGAAGCCAAACAUCGAUGAAAAAUAAUUCAGAUUAAAUGUCAUCCGAAGGACAUGAAUAUAGAAUGCAAGCUUCCGUAUAA
rnacentral:lncRNA from 1 species